AUUGAACGCUGGCGGCAUGCCUAACACAUGCAAGUCGAACGGUAGCAGGGGCUUCGGCCCGCUGACGAGUGGCGGACGGGUGAGUAACGCGUAGGAAUCUUCCCAGUAGCGGGGGAUAGCUCGGCGAAAGCCGGAUUAAUACCGCAUACGCCCUACGGGGAAAGGACAGGGAGUCGCAAGACCUUGCACUAUUGGAUGAGCCUACGUCUGAUUAGCUAGUUGGUAGGGUAAAAGACCUACCAAGGACGACGAUCAGUAGCUGGUCUGAGAGGACGGAUCAGCCACACUGGGACUGAGACACGGCCCAGACUCCUACGGGAGG
rnacentral:rRNA from 1 species